rnacentral:rRNA from 1 species
UUUUCCGGUUGAUCCUGCCGGAGGCCACUGCUAUCGGGGUUUGACUAAGCCAUGCGAGUCGAGAGGUUUCGGACCUCGGCGUACUGCUCAGUAACACGUGGACAAUCUGCCCUGGAGUGGAGGAUAAUCCCGGGAAACUGGGGGUAAUACUCCAUAGUUCGUAGAGGCUGGAAUGCCUAUCGAAUGAAAGAUCCGUCGCUCCAGGAUGAGUCUGCGGCCGAUUAGGUAGUUGUUGGGGUAAAGGCCCAACAAGCCUGUCAUCGGUACGGGUUGUGGGAGCAAGAGCCCGGAGAUGGAUUCUGAGACACGAAUCCAGGCCCUACGGGGCGCAGCAGGCGCGAAAACUUUACCAUGCGGGCAACCGUGAUAAGGAAACCCCGAGUGCCAGCACAGGCUGGCUGUCCAUCAGUGUAAAUAACUGGUGAAGAAAGGGCCGGGCAAGACCGGUGCCAGCCGCCGCGGUAAUACCGGCGGCUCGAGUGGUGGCCGCUAUUACUGGGCUUAAAGGGUCCGUAGCUUGAUAAUUGGGUCCCUUGAGAAAUCCGCCAGCUUAACUGGCGGGCGUUCAGGGGAAACUGGUUUUCUAGGGACCGGGAGAGGUGAGAGGUACUGCCGGGGUAGGAGUGAAAUCCUGUAAUCCCGGUGGGACCACCUAUGGCGAAGGCAUCUCACCAGAACGGGUCCGACAGUGAGGGACGAAAGCUGGGGGAGCAAACCGGAUUAGAUACCCGGGUAGUCCCAGCUGUAAACGAUGCGCGUUAGGUGUGUCAGUGACCACGUGUCACUGAGGUGCCGAAGGGAAACCGUGAAACGCGCCGCCUGGGGAGUACGGUCGCAAGGCUGAAACUUAAAGGAAUUGGCGGGGGAGCACCACAACGGGUGGAGCCUGCGGUUUAAUCGGACUCAACGCCGGAAAUCUCACCGGAUAAGACAGCUGAAUGAUAGUCGGGAUGAAGACUCUACUUGACUAGCUGAGAGGAGGUGCAUGGCCGUCGUCAGUUCGUACUGUGAAGCAUCCUGUUUAGUCAGGCAACGAGCGAGACCCACGCGACCAGUUGCCAGCUUGACCUUCGGGUUGAUGGGGACACUGCUCGGACCGCCUCUGCUAAAGGGGAGGAAGGAAUGGGCAACGGUAGGUCAGCAUGCCCCGAAUUAUCCGGGCUACACGCGGGCUACAAUGGAUAGGACAAUGGGUUUCGACACCGAGAGGUGAGGAUAAUCUCCUAAACCUAUCCGAAGUUCGGAUUGCGGGUUGUAACUCACCCGCAUGAAGCUGGAAUCCGUAGUAAUCGCGUUUCAACAUAGCGCGGUGAAUAUGUCCCUGCUCCUUGCACACSCCGCCCGUCAASCCACCCGAGUGAGGUCUUGAUGAGGUUGUGUCGUUGACAUGAUCGAAUCUGGGUUUUGCAAGGGGGGUUAAGUCGUAACAAGGUAGCCGUAGGGGAAUCUGCGGCUGGAUCACCUCCUUUCUGAAUCGAAU